rnacentral:rRNA from 1 species
ACGCACGCUGGCGGCAUGCCUAACACCUGCCAGUCGAACGCGACCUUCGGGUCUAGUGGCGCACGGGUGCGUAACGCGUGGGAACCUGCCCUUAGGUUCGGAAUAACUCCCCGAAAGGGGUGCUAAUACCGGAUAAUGUCUUCGGACCAAAGAUUUAUCGCCUUUGGAUGGGCCCGCGUUGGAUUAGCUAGUUGGUAGGGUAAAAGCCUACCAAGGCGACGAUCCAUAGCUGGUCUGAGAGGAUGAUCAGCCACACUGGGACUGAGACACGGCCCAGACUCCUACGGGAGGCAGCAGUGGGGAAUAUUGGACAAUGGGCGAAAGCCUGAUCCAGCAAUGCCGCGUGAGUGAUGAAGGCCUUAGGGUUGUAAAGCUCUUUUACCCGGGAUGAUAAUGACAGUACCGGGAGAAUAAGCUCCGGCUAACUCCGUG